UUCCUAUGGCUUGUGGAGUCUUCUAGAUGAUAGAAAAUUGGCGCACACGUUAAUAUCUCUACGUAAACCCGACAUGUGGGCCUUUCCUCCAUGAUUCCUAAUAACCCCCUGCAGAAAUAGACAAACAGCAAAACUCGUGGAAUUCUGUCAGAUGAAACCCUAAGUCUGGGUGUUGGUUGCAUAUAAGUCCUUUUCCAUGAUUAGUUGACGGUUAAAUGUGAGCAUUAAGGACCGUCAACAAGCUCCCCCAAGCUUAACCUUUGCUCGUCCCUGAGCAAAGCUAAAAUCAGCAAGAAAACAGGUGUUACUUUUAUGCCUCUUACCAUGGGGUUUUUAAGUUAUCACUAAAGUCUUUAGUGAUUGAAAACAGAACGAUCAAGUCAAGCACAAUGUCUCAAGUUCUUCUGUCUUACCUUUGUUCUGGUGUUUUUUGUAAGUUUCCAAAAUAAAACUGAGGCAUCUGCCUUCUUCUCGAAAGAUAUAUAAGUAGAGCUUUAAAAGUUUUAGCAUACUUACUUUGCAUUUUGCUAUGUCAAAAUUCAGAGCAAGGGAGAGGAAUGUUAUACUCCAAGAUCAAGACCUUUGACCUUUUUUGAAAAGUUUGUCAUCCCUUACUAGCAUAUUGCUUAUUAGAGGGACCAUGGGCUAUCAUUUUUUUCUUUCUUCUCUUUUUUUUCAUGUGGGCACCAAGUACUCCUAAUUCUACUAUUGGACAUGUGUCCAUUUUUUCCACUCACGUGGGUAUCUUUGUACCCCUAAUUCUACUUCGGACACUUGUCCACUUUUACCUCUCGUCUCACUCUUUUCUUCGAAUCAAAUUUUUGCAUAGUCCCAUGCCUCUAACGCAAUAAUACUUCAGAAGAGUGAAUCUUUUAUAUGUUUAAAACAAAAAGAUCUUGAUCUUUGGAGCAUGAUAAUUGUCUCAACCAAAACAACAAGAAUUAACAAUGGCUUGAACAAAGCAAGUGCCCACAGUUUUAAUAUUUAUAUCUUAUAAGACUCUAGGUAUUAUGUAAAAUAGGAUCUCAUCAUUUUUUUUGAAUUUUUAGAUUUUCAAAAGAUAAAAACUCCAGAACUCUAGCGAAACUUGGAACAAGUUAAAUAGUAGCUCAGACCUUCUCAUAUCAUGUUUGUCAAUUACCUAGACUUGGAUCAAACUUUCUUUUUAUUUUAUUUAAAACUUAGGAUUACACAAAACUAUUGUAUACUACUCAAAAGAAAAACUUUGUUUGGUUUCAUGGUUAUGCAUUUUUUUAUUUAUUUCUGAAUACUAGUAAAUAAAACCAAGAAAGAAAAGUAAUACUUAUUUAGAUUCACGUGGGGGUGCCUCCCCCAAGCUACAUGUUGACAUAGUCGUUCACUCUUGUGGCCUGCAUGUUCGGUCUCACUCUUCUUAAGCCUCAAAAUCCUGCACAACCCAAAUAGACAACAAAACUCGUGGAGCAUGUUAAGGGUUGGGUAAUUGUCUAGAGCUUAUGAGAGCUUAAUGUGAGAAUUCUAUGAACUCAAUCACAUCAAGUUCCUCUACCAGGUUGUUUUGUGGCUCGAGAUAGAUUUUCAAGCGUUGACCAUUUACUUUAAAAGUGUUACCUAUGUCGUCUUGGAUGGUAAUGGCUCCAUGAGUUGAAGUGUCAAUAACCUUGUAUGGUCCAUCCCACUUACUUCGUAGCUUACGAUGCCCAAAGAGCUUAACUCUUGAAUUGAAUAGUAGAACCUUAUCUCCAGGCUUAAACUCCUUGUGCUUGAUUCUCUUAUCAUGCCAUCGUUUUGUUCUCUCUUUAUAGAUCCUUGAAUUGCGGU
rnacentral:lncRNA from 1 species